ACGAACGCUGGCGGCGUGCCUAAUACAUGCAAGUCGAACGAACGGAGGAAGAGCUUGCUCUUCCAAAGUUAGUGGCGGACGGGUGAGUAACACGUGGGCAACCUGCCUGUAAGUUGGGGAUAACUCCGGGAAACCGGGGCUAAUACCGAAUGAUAGAGUGUGGCGCAUGCCACGCUYUUGAAAGAUGGUUUCGGCUAUCGCUUACAGAUGGGCCCGCGGUGCAUUAGCUAGUUGGUAGGGUAAUGGCCUACCAAGGCAACGAUGCAUAGCCGACCUGAGAGGGUGAUCGGCCACACUGGGACUGAGACACGGCCCAGACUCCUACGGGAGGCAGCAGUAGGGAAUCUUCCGCAAUGGACGAAAGUCUGACGGAGCAACGCCGCGUGUAUGAAGAAGGUUUUCGGAUCGUAAAGUACUGUUGUUAGAGAAGAACAAGGAUAAGAGUAACUGCUUGUCCCUUGACGGUAUCUAACCAGAAAGCCACGGCUAACUAC
rnacentral:rRNA from 1 species